rnacentral:rRNA from 1 species
GACGAACGCUGGCGGCGUGCCUAAUACAUGCAAGUCGAACGCUUCUUCUUUCACCGGAGCUUGCUCCACCGAAAGAAAAAGAGUGGCGAACGGGUGAGUAACACGUGGGUAACCUGCCCAUCAGAAGGGGAUAACACUUGGAAACAGGUGCUGAUACCGUAUAACACUAUUUUCCGCAUGGAAGAAAGUUGAAAGGCGCUUUUGCGUCACUGAUGGAUGGACCCGCGGUGCAUUAGCUAGUUGGUGAGGUAACGGCUCACCAAGGCAACGAUGCAUAGCCGACCUGGGAGGGUGAUCGGCCACACUGGGACGGAGACACGGCCCAGACUCCUACGGGAGGCAGCAGUAGGGAAUCUUCGGCAAUGGACGAAAGUCUGACCGAGCAACGCCGCGUGAGUGAAGAAGGUUUUCGGAUCGUAAAACUCUGUUGUUAGAGAAGAACAAGGAUGAGAGUAAAACGUUCAUCCCUUGACGGUAUCUAACCAGAAAGCCACGGCUAACUACGUGCCAGCAGCCGCGGUAA